GGGGAUUUAGCUCAGCGGUAGAGCACUUGCCUAGCAAGCGCAAGGCCCUGGGUUCGGUCCCCAGCUCCA
rfam:Rattus norvegicus chromosome 17, whole genome shotgun sequence.